AAUGCUGAUGCUGAUUUGUUGGAUGUGCUAAUAAAUGCUUUUCUCAGUCAAAAGAGGAUAGAUGGUGCAUACACAUUACUUGUAGAGAUGGUAAACAAGGCUUCUUUAAGACCUUGGCAAGCAACGUACAAACUUCUUAUUGAAAAGCUUCUAGAAGAGAGGAAACUUGAAGAAGCACUGAACCUUCUUCGUUUAAUGAAGCAACACAACUACCCUCCUUUUCCUGAGCCAUUUGUUCUGUAUAUCUCCAAGUUUGGGACUGUGGCGGAUGUUGCAGAUUUCUUCAAGGCGUAAAGGAAAAUCCAUCAACUUCAGCUUACCUUCAUGUCUUUCAAUCAUUCUUCAAGGAAGGUAGACAUUCUGAGGCCAAAGAUCUGCUAUACAAGUGUCCUCAUCGUAUUCGCAAACAUCCUAAGAUUUGUGAACUUUUUGGUUCUGCAAAAAGCGUAGAAACCACUGCUUGAACAUAAUUUUCUAUUAUUUUCUUUUACUUGAAGGAUUGGUUCAUUUUCCAAUCUUCUCUUGUACCAAGUUGGCCAAGUGCUAUCAUAGAAGUUAACUAAUUUCUAG
rnacentral:misc_RNA from 1 species